AAAAAUGCAUUCAUUUCAUUCUUUUGACCAAAGCAAUUUAGAGAGAGAAGUGAGGGAGGUAGAGAGAAGGGCUCUCGGCCAAGGUGGAGCUUAAAGGAGAAAUUAAAGGGUGAAGUGUGGUUAUUUCUCAUGUGGAUGACAGCAAGGUUAGAGUAUUUAGGGCUGCAAAAAAACUUUGAUGAAGCAAGACCUCAAGUCCAAGCAAAAUUGUGCCUUUUUAGCCUAAGGUUGAGAUCCUAUGGGGAAGCAUAUACAUGUUGUGUGCAGAUAAAUGUUAAAGAUUCACCGAGUCCAUAAUGAGCCGAAUAUGAUAUAUGAUAUAAUCAUGCAUGAUUUUAUUUCAUAAGGCACAGGUACAGUGAUUUCUUGAUUAUCGGUAUUAUACUUGUCUCCUGAUUGCCUAUUUCAAAUGUGAUCUCCUUUAUGAUAUUUUAUGCUUUAUAUACUCAGUACAUAUGUCGUACUGACCCCCUCUCUUCGGGAGGCUGCAUUUCAUGUCCGCAGGUACAAAUAUUAAUUUUGGGAAUCCGCCAGCUUAGGAUUUCCACUCAGCUAUUUUGGAAGUGCUCCAUUGUCCCGGAGCCUAGAAUUUUGAUAUAGAUAUUUUGAUGUAUAUAUUUAUUUAUCCAUGGAUAUGGCGGGGUUCUGUCCCGUUAUAUGUUAAUGUUGAUAUUCUUAGAGGUCUGUAGACAUAUAUGUGGGUGGUAUAUAGAUGUUUUUCAGUUGUACUAGUAUGACUUAUAUUUUGGAAUGUUCCUAUUCA